rnacentral:lncRNA from 10 species
UCCUGCCUUUCACCUCCUUCUGACUCAUCUCUGAAUUGUUUCUUGUGAUUGUGUCAAGAAUCUGGAAACUAGCUGGGCUGGGGUCUCACUGGCAUGCAGAGACUCUCCUGGGAUCACACUGGCAUCCACAGAGCCUCUUGAGCCCUCCAGCAACAAGUUGAUCUGGAUAUUGCCACGGUUUCUACGGGACUGAACAAAGGGGGACCCACACAGGAAUGAAAACUUAAAACAAAACAGCCACUAAGGAAGGCGCAGAGGGACUUCCUUUCGGCCCGAAACAGUAUCUGUGCUGCCAAAGCUCCACCAGCAGAGAACAGAGAAGGGGAGAAGAGGAAAAGCAGCUGGACGUCGGGGACUGCGGUUUGACGUCGGAGAGAAGCAGCUUGACUUCAGAGGGACAGCUUGACCGCUUUGCUUUGGAGAGGAGUCUGGCUGGGGAUGGCUGGACUCCAGGGGAAGAUCGUCUUCCUGUUCCAUCCCUUUUCCAGCUCCCCUCCCACUGAGAGCCACUUUCAUUGGCAAUAAAAUCCUCCAUAUUCACCACCCUUCAAUUCGUUCAUGCGACCUGAUUUUUCCUGGAUGCCAAACAAGAGCCCAGGUGCCACAGGUGUGGAUACUAAAGGCUGUCACACUGACCCUUUGCCCUUGCUGGCAGAGAGCAACCACUUCAUGCAAAAAGGCAGAGGGCCCACUGAGGUAUUUAACACUUAAGCUGUCCGUGGACAGCCAAGCUAAAAGAACACUGUAACACACUCCCUCUGGGGCUUCUGGGGUCCCUGGUAUUCCUGACGAGACACUGUCAUGGGGCCUGCAGGGAGUUUUGCUCCUGCCAACACCCAAAAGCACUCUUUCUGGCUCCUGCACCCGCUCACCUGCGUGCUUCCCCUUCCCUCAAGGGCUUGAGAGCUGCAGGCUGAGUAAGUAGGCACCCUUGUCACGAGGUCCAAAAAGGGAUCAAGGAAAAUUUCCUGUUUCAGUGCUUUGGCAAAAACUUGAGUCAAUGAUACAGAAAAGUUAUGAGAGUUGAAAUCCUUGUCUAGUUCCCACUCAUAAUUCACUGAUUUUUAUUUCUGUAGUUUAUAAUCUGAGGUUAAUUCUAUCCAAUAAUAUUUUCAUUGUAGUAAUUGGGUAAUUUUUAUAUUUAGAUAUUGCUUUUGGUUUCUUUUUUGUAACGUCCAGUUCUCCAUUUUUUUGGUACAUAUAAAUAAAUAUAAUAACUCUUUUAAUGUUAUUAUUUGAUAAUUUAAUCAUCUCUGUCAAUUCUAUGUUUCUAUUGACUAUUUCCCCCCCAAUCGUAAGUCUAAUUUUCUUGUUUGUAUGUGCAGUAGUUAAAAAAUUCAAAUUAAAAAUAUUGCAAAUUUCUGGCCAGGUGUGGUGGCUCAUGCUUGUAACCCCAGCAUUUUGGGAGGUGGAGGCAGGCAAAUCACUUGAGGUCUGGAGUUCUCCAGCCUGGCCAACAAGGUGAAACCUGUCUCUACUAAAAAUACAAUUAG